UUUUUUUUAAAUUGCUUUGUUGUAAACACACAAAAUAAGGUAACCAUAGUUUGGGAUUAUAGUUUUGAAUCUGAAAUUUGUUACCUGCAGGUGGAGGACACAAAGGAAGUCUAUGCACAACAAAUUGCAAGAUUGGGGGUCCACAUUUUUGUGUUAACAAAAGAACUGAGGUUUAUUCAUUUGAAAUAAUCUGCUGUUCGGCAUUAGCAGUCAUUUCUGCUCGGAGCUCCAGAAGUGCUUUACUCAAAGCCUGAAAAUAUCAACGAAUUCGUUUCAGGCUAUACAGCUCUAAUGAAUCUCCACAGAAGGGCAUCUUUCAGGUUCCCUGAGUUUCUAGGAUUGUUCGAAUGUGCUCCCUAAUUUUCCUCAAAGCUAG